rfam:Schistosoma rodhaini strain Burundi genome assembly, scaffold: SROB_scaffold0012602
AUCCAGUUAACGAGUCUGAAAUAAGACGAAAUGCGCGUCCUGGAU